UACGUAGGGGGCAAGCGUUGUCCGGAAUCAUUGGGCGUAAAGCGCACGUAGGCGGCAUUGCAAGUCGGAUGUGAAAUCCCUCGGCUUAACCAAGGAAGUGCAUCCGAAACUGCUGUGCUUGAGUACUUAAGAGGAUCGCGGAAUUCCCGGUGUAGAGGUGAAAUUCGUAGAUAUCGGGAGGAACGCCAGUGGCGAAGGCGGCGAUCUGGGAAGAUACUGACGCUGAGGUGCGAAAGCGUGGGGAGCAAACAGG
rnacentral:rRNA from 1 species